rnacentral:lncRNA from 1 species
GGAAGGGCGCGGGCCGUUAACGGCGCUGGAGGUUGCCGCCGGGGCGUGGGGCUCUGCCUGGGCUCCGCCUGGGCUGCCGGAGGGUCGGGGCGGCGGCGGCGGCGGCGGCGCAGCGCGGCCCGGCCCGACCCGGCUCCGCUCCAGCGCCUGGGACGCGCCCGGCCGUGGCGCGCUCAGAAAGCCCCGACAGAUCCGGCAUCGCUUCCGUGGCGGGGACCGGAAGCUUUCCGGAAGCUUCUCUUUCGUUUGAAGCCAUGCUGGAAGGACGAGGAAGGGUUUAAGGACAGAGCGUAAGGCAGGCGCCCUGCGCUCUGAGGGGAAAUGACUUUAAAAGUAGGAACUAUCAAACUGGCUUAUCCUCAGGUGAUGAGUCUGACGUGUCCUAGUGAGCUCCUGCUGUCACUCCGAUAGAGUCCAAACUGCUGUGGGAAUGAAGAAAACAGGAAUAAUACUAGCACUGGGCUGGCCAGAGCACACUUAUAUUCCCCACAUCAGGGCCUGUGCCAGUCAUGUUAACCACAACACAAGCCAUCCUGAAAUCUUAGUAUUGCACUUCUGCUGCAAAGAUUUCAAGGACUAUCGAUGGAUUGGCAGCUCAGCUAAGAAGCCAAGCUUUAAUACGUAUGCACAAGCAAACUCAUAUACACACUUACACAUACUUGAGGGAAGUAUAGAGGAAGACACCCUUAAAACUAUAUUUAGUUGCAGAGGAAAUGUUUUUUAA